UAGGUGUGGGAGCCUUCUGUCAGAUACCUGAGAGUAGUCUGCUCUUACAAAGAAAGGUUGUUUGCAUUCAAUUCUGGAGUUUCCCUUCCUGUGUGGUCAGUUGACCUCACUGCUUUAGCCUGAGGUGAAGUCUCAUAGGGCAGAGCAAAGCCAUUUGCCUCAGAACCAGUUGGUGCCACAGACACAUCCCCAAUGACCUCGCCUACCCCUCUAGGUGUCACCUUUAAAAGGCCACCACCUCCCAGCAGCAACUCACUGGACACCAAACCUUUAUCACAUGGAUUUUAGGGGCGGGGCAUUCAGUGCCAAGCGAUAGCAACUGGAAGUAGAGAGAAACAUCUGGACCGAGAAACUCGGUCUGGCUCCUGCUGACUCUCGUUUCCCCAAUUGAGCUAUAAACCUUUUCUUUGAAAGAGUUUUACCCCUUGUUCACAGAACCUCUAGCCAACAGUCACCCCUUCUCUCCCACCCAUCUGGGCUUACAGGCAUGUCCUGACAGUGAUGUAUGGUCACUGGAGGGGCACAGUGGGGGACAAGGCAUGGUUAAGCAAUAAAAGUCCAUUUUCCACAGAGAUGCUUGAUAAUGUGAUACAGGAAAUGUCAUGGCGGUUGUGCCGGGGGCUGACAAGCAUGGUCCCGAUGGGUUUUAUUCUGCUACCACAAAGUAGAAGCAAAUAAACACUAUUUUAUGCCACCACUGACCCAUGGAGGCACAUAAAAUGCAUUACUACAGCGUGGUUAGAGCAGGAACAUGGAGAGAUGAUAGGAGCUCACGUACAGCUGUGACCCUCCAGCCCAGCCAUGGUGGUGAAGCUUUCUGCAGAUGAUGGGCUGUGCUCCAUGUUGUUAAGAAUUGACUUAUUGAGGUUCAGCUGGUGACAUUUUGGUGUUACCACCCUCCACUUUGAGCAUUUGCAAGAUGACCCUUAAGUUAAUAUUAGGUGUGCAGCCAAAGAAUUCAUGUAGCAGUGUGGAAUACAGGGAAUUCAGAUGACAGUAGAAAAUUCCAGGCAGAACCCAGAUAGAGACAUUUCCUUGAGCCACACCCAGCAUAGGAUUUUGCCAAUAUUUAGUGAGAAGACUGUAUGAGUCGGUGGCUUUGGCUAAAAUCAGUCCUCUGCAUUUAUAGAUAGCAGAAGAAGCAGAAUUUCUCCGAAGCAGCUGUGCCCUCCCCAGACCCCGCUUAUCUUUCCCACUCAGGUCCAGACUGAAGGAGUAGUUCCUGUCUGAGAUGCUGUCAUCAUGGCAGAAGGUGGAGGAAGGACAGAAUGACAGUCCAGCGUUAGAGCUUCAUUUCCCGCAUCCCCAUCUCCAAAGCACAUUUCAGCGGCCCAAACAAAUUCAAGUCCUACCUGCAAUGGGGCAGGAAAUUCGGUCUGCUGCAGACAGAGCCCUAAAGCUGGGGUUGAAACAGGUGGGAUGUGACAGUACAAUACGCAGCAUACAGUGUAAGAGAGAGAUGGCUGAAUUUCUAGGACCAAAUCUUCUGUUAAUAGCAGCCUAAUCACGUGGUUAAUCAUAGCGUUUGCAUGCAAUGCUUAAGUGAGCUGAAAAGACAAUGUACAGUCUCACUCAAAGUGUGGGCAACACCACUUCUAAUUACUUCUUUUGUGAUUUGACAAUUUGGGCAUUAGAAACUCCUUUACGAAUUGAAGGAGUCUACAGGGACUCCUGGGGGGAUGCUUAUCGGGCCGAUGAGGUGCUUACCAUGCAAGCAUGAGGACCUGAGUUUGAUCCCCAGUACCCACAAAAAGGCUGGGUAUGGUAGCCUGUGCUUGUAGCCCUAGCACCAGGAAUGCAGAGGCAGGAGGAUUUGCCAGUGUUGCUGAAGAGAGUUCACAGAGAGAUAUUGUCGCAAAGUGAAGGUGGACAUUGAUAAGGGAAGAGAUUUGACACUGAUCUCUGACCUUCAUAUACCCCUCGGUGAUGGUUUGUAUAUGCUUGGCCCAGGGAGUGGCACGAUUAGUAGGUGUGGCCUUGUGAGAAUAGGUGUGUCACAGUUUGAGUAGGCUUUAAUACCCUAGUCCUAGCUGUCUGGAAGCCAGUAUUCUGCUAGCAGCCUUCAAAUGAAGAUGUAGAACUCUCAGCUCCUCCCGCACCAUGCCUGCCUGGAUGCUGCCAUGAUUCCUGCCUUGAUGAUAAUGGACUGAACCUCUGAACCUGUAAGCCAGCCCCAAUUAAAUGAUGUCUUUUAUAAGAGUUGCCUUGGUCAUGGUGCCUCUUCACAGCAAUAAAACCCUAACUAAGACAACCCUCAUUCCAGUGGUUCUCAACCUUUAGUCACAACCCCUUUGGGGUCACAGAUCAGAUAUCUGCAUAUCAUGUAUUUACAUUGCCAUUCAUACAUGUAUAAGGUAGUAAUGAAAUAAUUUUAUGGUUGGGGUCAUCACAACAUGAGGAACUGCAUUAAAGAGUUGCAGCACUAGGGAGGCUGAGAACCACUGUUCUACACACACAUGAGCAUGCGUGCACACAUAUAUCACACACAUACAACAAACACAUGAACCUCAAGUGGCAAUGUCUGGUGGGAUCCUGAAAGCAGGAAAAUAACCCCAAUGUUGUCUCCCAGAGGAGUGUCUCAGAAAGUAGGAACCACGCUCGACCAGUUGUUGAAUGAGCUAAAAUGUAGGUGCAGUGUGUAUGCUUCCGGGCUUGUCCCUGGAUACACUGAACUGAAUAGUGGCAAGAUCUGCAGUUAACUCGCAGUCCAGCCUCAUUCCCCAGACCAGCCCAUCUUUCUCCCCAGCCUUAAGGUUUUACUACAUAAGUCAGUCUGUUCUCAGACUCAGAAUCCUUCUGCUUCAGCCUUCCAAAUGCUAGGAUGAUCAGCGUCCACUACCAUGACAUGUUCUAGGUGAUGGAUACAGCAGUCUAUGGAGAUUUGCCCCUCUGGAAGCUGCAGGCUUCAGCAGCGCCCACCCCUGCCAGCAUUUACCCAGCUGAACUCUCAUGUCUUUAUAUUUGCCUGUGUUCUGGUCCUCGAGGGUUCCACAAGCAGAGCCAGCUCGCACGCACAGCCAGCACAAGUGCUCUCAGUCCUGGGCCACGAAUCCUGCAGGGCCUUGGGGUUUCCUGGCAGGAAUAGGAGUCGGGGGACUUUCUACAGAAUAGUUUCUAAUGAGGGCCUCUGUCCCCCUUCAAAUACAUUUUAGUUUAUAUACUUUACUAUUUUUCUUAUAAAUUGGCAUCUGUGAAUCAUUUUAU
rnacentral:lncRNA from 1 species